rnacentral:rRNA from 1 species
UACGUAGGGUGCAAGCGUUAAUCGGAAUUACUGGGCGUAAAGAGCGCGCAGGCGGUCGUACAAGUCGCGUGUGAAAGCCCCUGGCUCAACUGGGGAGGGUCACGCGAUACUGUUCGACUUGAAGGCAGGAGAGGGAAGUGGAAUUCCCGGUGUAGUGGUGAAAUGCGUAGAUAUCGGGAGGAACACCAGUGGCGAAGGCGACUUCCUGGCCUGUUCUUGACGCUGAGGCGCGAAAGCUAGGGUAGCAAACGGG